GAAACAUUAUAGAGAAAUGAAGCAAAAGGCAGAGCAUAAACGUCAAUGUUAUAAUUGACAAUCCCAAGCAACUGGGUAAUGAAUAAAGAGAAAUACAUUACAGAUACUGUAUAUACAUGAGCAGAUAUUCACAAUACAUAAUGUUCUUUAUUACCACAAGCAUUUAAACAAUACAGCUAUUGAUAGGAUAGACUGACACAGACCUUACUUGAAGCAUAUUUUUAUACUUGACAAGAAUUAGCCUUCACUUGUUUGCAGCCAUCCAAAUGGAGAAAGUACCUUCGGUUGGCAAGGUCAAGCAGCACGGAAAGGCUCAUCAUUCUUUAGCCUGGAAAUUCACACUAAAUUUGGUUAUGUGCAGUUGUGUGAUUUGUUCUACUAAAAUUACUUGAAGCAUGACCUCAAUAAGAAAAAAAAAUGAAAAUAAUUAACGAGGCUACAUGAAAAUAAUUAAUUAUGACCAACUUUCAUGAAGAUGGUCCAAUUCAUGGGUAGCGAAUUCACCGUUUUCAAUUUUCAUGCAAUAAAACAAAGUUGAUUUUGAGAGCAAUGAAUUGUCAUAUAAGUUUGGGUUUAAAGAAGCCAACUAAUCCAAAGAUGAGAAACGAGUUGUGAAUAUCUGACUACCUGGAAUAAAACUCCAAGCCAGCCUAUGAAACGUACUAAUCAAAGAAUUUUCAAUCGCUGUUCAAUAAAGUGUUCAAAUGACUUGAUUUAUCCUUUGUACAACAGAACUGAUAUAAUGUAAUAAAUCAUUAAGGAUGAAUUUGAGUAAACAUUUUAAAUUAUAACAAACACAGCUUCACUUAAUUACAGGCUUGGUCAUGAAUAUUACUUGGAACAGAUUCAUUGUUUAUGUCUGAACUUGCAAAAUUCUUAAAUGAGAAUACUAAGGAUUGUGUUCACCGAAUGUGCAUAUUUAGUAUUUGAAUUGUAUGAAACCCAAAACAAAGCAUCAUUCAAUAUUGAAUAAGUGAAUCCGGUAGCUCCUCGAAAGUAAAACCCAGAAUUGCAGUGGACGGUGUGAAGCACUUGUCCAUAUAAAGGUCCAAUGGCUCAAAUCACGUUUAAGGAAUCUCACAUCAUUCAAAGUAUAAAUGAUGACUAAAUCAUAAAUUGGUAUCCAUUGAUCUCAAUAGAGGGAGAAAAACAUGUGACUUGGGGCAUCGGUCUAAGAAGAGAAGCAAGCCCCUUCUUGCCAUGUUCAAGUGGUUGACAAGCAAUGAUAGGAUUAAAUGCAUAUUGCAGCCUCAAUGGUGCUAAUGUAUUAGCUUACUAAAAAACUGCAUUUCCAUAAUUGAUUUGUUGUUUUGUGAUGUCCAUGUCUUGUUCAUAGCAGUAAAAAAAUUAUGUAAAAGAAAUCUCAGUUGUCUAAGCUGGACAUUUUUCGAACCUAAUUGCAAGUUCAAUCACAAUUGAAGAUAACAACCGCUCCAACAUUCCAACAGACAAGGGUUAAUCUGCCUUUGCAUUGUGCAAUCACAAGUAAUUUAGAUUGUGAGGUCAAUAUAAAGGUUGUUUGUGCAUUAUACUUACAAACAUAAGUCAUGUACGACUGCCAAAUAAGUAUUAAUAUGAACAAGAGAACUAGCUCCAAACUAUUAGUUUAACAUUUCUGUGAUGCAAAGCAUAAAAUUCGGUUUAAUGUCUCAUAGUACUAACUUCUGUUGAUUAUCAAACUUGAGGCUUGCAUAUUCUAGACAACAGAUUAGGAAUAGCACAUUGAAGAAAAUGCAGUAUGCACAUACCCUGUUCUAUAAGUUUGGGCCUCCAGUCAAAUCAUUUUUCUCAAUAUCAGGCAGCACUUCUGGAUUCCUUUCCUCUGCAAUAUUUGGAUGAUGGGAUGGAGAUGUACUUAACGCUGAAGCCACAACACCAGUUUUUGCUGCUUCAGAUGAUCCUGGGCCACCACCAACAGUAGAUUUGUCUUCCAUCCAACCCGGUACUUUAUACGAUACAAGGGCAAUAUACUGCUCCAUAGCCACCUCUUGAUUCAUGUUUCCCAGCCUUUGCCAAGCAUUCCUUGCACAACGUAACUGCCCUCCAUCACUCAUACAUAGCAGCUGUCAACCCUGUUAUUAUAGCUAACUAUCAAACUAUACCUGAGUAAUUCGGUAGAGGCAGGCCUUGUUUCGUAUGUUCAUGUUCUUUUUUUCUCAGGUGGUCAAAUUUCCUAAUGUAAUAUUAUAUAAGUAGAUUUCUUUCUAGAGUUUUUUUUUGUAUGCUAAGCUGUCUGGAUUUUGGCCAAUGGCCAUACCUGAAACAUCACUAUUCAGGAUUUUAAAGAGAGAAAAGAAUGAGUAGGCACUAGUCACAUAAGGUAUAAGUUAGAUGGUCAAUUAGUUGAAGCCCGAAGGGAACAUCUCAGACUUUCCAAAUGAAGACAAAAGGGAAUAGGCAUAAGUUUUUCUGCAGGGAAAAAUAGUAGAUGCAAGCGGGAUGAGAAGAAGACAAUAAGACAUAAAGAUGACACAUAACUUACGUGGCCUACGAGGAUUAUUAAUAGUUUAUUUGUCUUUUUUUCUUUUUUGUCAGGACUCUAGCCCAGGAACUUUUGAUGCCCACAACGGGUGGUUUUGAUAGUUCAUCUCAUCUUGCACUGCAAUUAUUUUAUGCACAACCUACCACAAUUCAAACAUUUUGAUCGGCAUUUUCUUUAAUUUAUCUGCAUUGCAGCAAUUUUUGCUUCUACUAAUCUCAUGUAUUGCUAAAUGUUUGUGUUAAUUAUCUCAACUAUAUCUCCAUUAUCAAAGUCAUGCAUCUAGCAAUCAUUCCGUCAAUUUAACAAACAGAAAAAAGCAAAUAUAGAACCAAGAACAAAAACAAAGUAGAGGUAAAUUAGGUAUCAGAAAGUUUAAUACCACUUGGCACGAGCAGCAACUUUGAGAGCCAUAGGGGGCUGCUCGCGGCAGGGCCCCUCAGUAGCUACCUUAUGAAGCCCAUACAGUUCCAUUUGCACAUCGUUCCCUAAGCUUGUCAAACCUCCAUCCUUAUCUCCAAACUCCACAAACUUUGCUGCCUUUGCAAAGACCUGCUCUAAUUCACUCCUCUCAAUCCCCUCCCAAUCAUCCUCAUCACUAUCAAUAUCUAUUUUCUUCACUUGAGCUUUUUGCUUUUCUCCGCUCUCCACGACCCGAAUCUCCUCAGAUUCUUCUAUUACAUCCUUUUCAACAGAGAAUUCUACUCCAAUGGACUCAAUUUCUCUGUUUUCUUUAAGCAAAUUAUCAUGAAAAACUCUUCCUUCGAUAACCUCGUCAGAUUGUUCAAUAGCAUUCGUAUCAUCAGCCAAUAUUACGCCGACUUCUCUGUUUAACUUGAUAUCUGCUACUCUCUUCCCCAACAUAUCCUCCGACGAUUCUUCCUCUACCUUUAAACCUUCUUCGGUUGAUUUUCGAGGCAAUUGAAGGCAUUCAGUUUCAAUUGCCUCAUCGCGGUUCACCAAUUCCCCAACCUUCUCAACCUCAACCGGUUCUCCAACAAAUUCAUCGACCUUCUGGGAACCUUCUUCCACAAACUCGACUCUCUUCUCGCUCUUAAACCCCUGAACCUUCAAACUUUCAAAAUGCUGCAAAUCCUCCGAGAUACUAUCAUCAACAUAUCCAGAAAUGUUCUCAUUCUGAUCAAUAAUUUGACUCUUGGACAGCUGCGAAUCGCGACUAGAAUCGCCACCAGCCAUAGCUAUUGAAACAAGUUUAGCUAUAAGAAAAGAGAAAAGGACAGCAACAACAGCCGUGAGAAAGAGCUCUUGAAGCAGCUCCAUGGUUCUUUGUUCCAAGAAUCAAGUAAGAAGAGCUGCGAUGAAAAUAAAUGAAGAAGGAAAUAGCAGUAGAUAUAGAAAGGAAGAAUAAAAAGAUGAUUGGAGAGAGAGAGAGAGAGA
rnacentral:misc_RNA from 1 species